UUUACCCUGCUGUAUUCGUGCUUUAAAUUUGUAGAGGAACCGCAUUUGGAACGGGAAUCGAGCCAUGAGUGGCAUACAUGCCUGUAUUUAUACAGGAUCUAUAAGGCUCAAAAGGUAGAUGCCCACCUUGUAACUUUGGUUUCGAGGUCAAUUAAAGUACGGUAUGAGCAGGGCUUAA
rnacentral:other from 1 species